rnacentral:misc_RNA from 1 species
GAUGAAGAACGCAGCGAAACGCGAUACGUAAUGUGAAUUGCAAAUUCAGUGAAUCAUCGAGUCUUUGAACGCACAUUGCGCCCCCUGGUAUUCCGGGGGGCAUGCCUGUCCGAGCGUCAUUGCUGCCUUCAAGCACGGCUUGUGUGUUGGGCCCCGUCCUCCGAUCCCGGGGGACGGGCCCGAAAGGCAGCGGCGGCACCGCGUCCGGUCCUCGAGCGUAUGGGGCUUUGUCACCCGCUCUGUAGGCCCGGCCGGCGCUUGCCGAUCAACCCAAAUUUUUAUCCAGGUUGACCUCGGAUCAGGUAGGGAUACCCGCUGAACUUAAGCAUAUCAAUAAGCGGAGGA